rnacentral:lncRNA from 1 species
UUUUUACUAUUUAAGAAAAAAUAUUUUUAUUUGCAAGAAAUGGAAAUACAAAAGCAUAACAAUUUAAAUUCAUUUUUUUCCAAACUAAAUACAAGUAUCCUACAAAGCAUUUGCUUUUUUUUUUUUGUAUUUACUUAACUAUGAUAAAGAAUAAAAAGCCAUUAAAAAAAAACAGCGUGAUAAUGACAGAUAAUAGACUCACAAUAUAUUUAGACUUAAACAUUACUGGUCUAUAUAACCUGUUACCAAAGAGAGAAAGCUCAGCCUGUCAGCACAAACAUUAAAGCUCAUGGUUGAUUAUAGUCCAGAAUCUGUUCAGUAUUGUUUAAAAACGGUCACCCACAAUUUGUCAAAGAGUGCUGGUGUUUUUCGUAGACUCAGAAAAUAUUCCGUCUGAAAGGGAGAUUUGCUGAACAGUGUAGGCCAUGGGUCCAUGGUGCAAAAAGUUCAUGUUCUCAGUCAGCUGGUGAGCAAGCGAGAGGAACAGAGAAACAGCUAAAAUUGCUGGUGUUGCUUUCCCAGGAUGCAGAGGCUGCUAGCUGUAACUAUAGAGGAUGGGAUGAACUGAACAGAUGAACAUCUGCACUAUGAGGCAAAAACCCCUCAACUUUGCACAGCAGGGCCAGCCCAGGGAGUAGGAGGCACUGCAUUCUCUGCCCAGAGGAACUUCAAAGCUUACAGUGUGCUCACGCAGAAAGAGAUCUGUUCACCCUAAUCCACAAAUUGCUGCACCUCCCCUAUCACUUAGCUGUUUAUCAUCUCAUAAUAAUUAGUUGCCCUUGUUUUCUCUUUCUAUAACAUUAAAAGACUUAUUUAGU